CCUACGGGGGGCAGCAGUGAGGAAUAUUGGUCAAUGGGCGGAAGCCUGAACCAGCCAAGUAGCGUGCAGGAUGACGGCCCUACGGGUUGUAAACUGCUUUUAUACGGGAAUAACGCGCCUUACGUGUAGGGCUUUGCAUGUACCGUAUGAAUAAGGACCGGCUAAUUCCGUGCCAGCAGCCGCGGUAAUACGGAAGGUCCGGGCGUUAUCCGGAUUUAUUGGGUUUAAAGGGAGCGUAGGCCGCAUGUCAAGCGUGCUGUGAAAUGUCCGGGCUCAACCCGGGCCUUGCAGCGCGAACUGGCGUGCUUGAGUCCGCGGAAAGCAGGCGGAAUUCGUCGUGUAGCGGUGGAAUGCUUAGAUAUGACGAAGAACCCCGAUUGCGAAGGCAGCUUGCUGCAGCGGAACUGACGCUGAUGCUCGAAAGCGCGGGUAUCGAACAGGAUUAGAUACCCCUGUAGUC
rnacentral:rRNA from 1 species